rnacentral:misc_RNA from 1 species
CGAACGAGAUUCUGUACUCUCUCUCAAUAGGAAACUAAACAAGACGACUUUUGCUCAGCUCUCGUCAUCAAAUACAUGAAAACCAUGUAGUCGCCUUAUUGGGAUUUUAAACACUUAUAUCAGACAACAUGUCUGUUGAUUUCAUCAUUAUAGGGUUACUUGUUACCCUUUCCGGCCACUUUUCUGAGGGAAAUACACAAACUGAAGAGAAAAACAAUUUCCUCAGGGAGGCUGUGAGUAAACUUGUACGCCGAAACUAUCCAGAAAUAUUUUUAGAAGAAACAAAAUUUCCAGAGAAAAAAGAUGUAGAUGCUGUAAUAAAUGAAGACAAAAAUAUUGACAAAGAAGUUUUAGUAGACACAAAGGGUACAGCUGCAGAAUUACUGGACGAUACACCUGACGUGUCUAAGGAUGUCAAGGAGACCGAUAAUUCUACACCUAAAGAGUCGAUACCAACAGAUCCACCUACACCUAAGACCGCAGCACUUGUCCACCACAAGGGUGACAGCGAAGAAACAGAUCAUAUCAUCGGCAUUCCCAGGACUGAUUUCCUCUUUAUAACAAUAACGACGGGAUGCAGUUUAGCUGCCUUUGUUGGACUAAUCAUUGCUGGGGUUUGCUGGUACAAACUCCACAAGAACGUGAAGGCUGCCAGUGAGGUUGAGUAUCCAGCAUACGGGGUAACUGGACCCUCUAAGGAGCGGAUGGCCCCGCCACCCGGGGACCGCAAACUGGCACAGAGCGCACAGAUGUACCACUACCAGCAUCAGAAACAACAGAUGAUUGCAAUGGAGAAAGCUAACGGUGAGAUGAAACAUGAUGCAUCAGAAGAUGAAUCGGAGGAGGAAAAUGAGGAGGGUGAUUACACUGUAUAUGAAUGUCCCGGUCUGGCACCAACAGGGGAAAUGGAAGUAAGAAAUCCUUUAUUCAGUGAGGAAACUUCUGGAGCUCCUGGUCCAGAACACCCUAAGGAGCCCCAGUGAGGGGGCACCAAUCUUCAGAAUUGAAGAAGCGCUGUUACUAUAGUUAUCUCCCUUAGCUCUAGCUAGUGGGUGUAAAACAUAUGUAGUUGUGGUGGGAUGUAUUUUUUGUUGUUCUUAGAAAAGUGCUCUGUGAUUGAGAUAUUUAUUGAUUAGUCAUUUUAUCCCUGUCAUUUGAUCUGGUAUUGGGUUUUUAGUAAAAACAUACUGCAUCAGUAAACUGUAAAAUUUCUGUUUUUAAAAAAAACAAAACAAAACAAUUACUUACAAUAAUAUAACAUGUCAAUACUUGGAACAUUCCUGCAGUUCCUAUACCUAAGUUUGGUAUAAAAUUUGGUAAAGAGACAAUAAUACUAUUCAAAAUUAUUUGGCAAUUACAAUAUCUUUAUUUAGCUGUAUGGACUUGUACUAUGAAUCUACCUGAAAUUAUACAAAUGUCAAAACUGAUUUUACUGUUUUUAUAGUUGAUAGUUCACGGUAUACCCAAAACACUUUUCAAAAUAGAAGAGUUCAGGUUUGACUGAUUUUGUGAGCUCUUCUAAUUUGAAGAACAUGAAUUGUAUACAUUGUAGAUUUAAUUGCACAAAAUAAUGUUCUAACUUGCAAUUUUAUCAAUAUCUUGUGUUCAUUGCACUGCACAUGUGUUUUUAAAAAAUUGUGCUGUUCCAACUCAAUUUUGCCUUAUAGUCUUGACUAACUGAUACACAGACAAGUCUGUUUUGUUUAAUUGGGUUGACAAGCUGUACAUCGCACAAGGUCACAAAAUUACACAACAUGAUUAAAUCACCCUAACUGUUUUACUUAUUACUAAGCCUGGAUCACUGCAGGAAAAUGCUCUUGGAAAUUUUGCUAAAUUUUCUUUAUGUAAGCCAUGACAUCCAAAUCUAUAUGAGGGUAUAGGUAUGUUUGUUCUAGAUCUGAAACUUUCUGAAUGCUAUUUACACAUUACCAUGAUAGAUUCAUGGUUGAAAUGGUUUUGAUAUAGACUGCUCAGAUAUUUUCUAAGAUCUUUAGAUCAGUACUUCAUCAAGUUUUGAUUAUUUUUUUGUGUUUAAUUAUACAUAUGAACUUUUUUCUCAAUGCAUUCCAAAGAUUACAAUAUUUGACUGUUCAAUGCAAUGAUGUUAAUGAUGAUAUUGAUGAUGAGGAGGAGGCUGAUGAUGAAGGUUGAUGAGAAUGAUGCACUAGUUGACAUGGCACUUUGUAUUGUAAUUCCAAAGAUCAACUAGAAUAUAUCUUUAGAGCUAGAAACAUUUCUCUAUUAUCUGAAAUCCCUAACUAUUAAGUAUUCCUCGUAGAAUUGAUCUCGCACUUUUAUCUUUUUGUCUCAUUUUUGUUUAACAUUCUUUAAUCUCUUCUUUUUACAUACAAACUUAUGCUUUAUUAAAAUUAACCUAUAUAUUUCCGAAUUCCUUCCAUGUCAUUCUUUAUACACAAUAUUUCACGCUUAGAUUACAAGAAUUUCUAUUUGAGGUGACAAUCUGAUGUUAAUCUCAGUGUGUAGUUCCACUCAACAUAUUUGUAUCACCAGUGCGAUUGGGAGUGAUGUUCUCCUGUUAGAAAUUUAUCAACACAUGCUGUAAUUCUGUUAAAAAGCAUUUUCAGGAAAUUUGAUAUCUGUGUAUAAUUCCAAAUUAGGGGAGUGCUUAUAUAACUUAACCAGUUAAAAAAUGUUAGGCUUCAGUGCAGGGGAACUAUUUUGUCAUGUCAGCAAAAUUCUGUUUUGAUUUAUGUCUGUAUCAUCUAUGUUAAGUUUUAACAAAUAUAUAUAUAUAUAUAUAGCUUUAGUUAUUUCUCUGAUUGAUUAAAAGUAGGUGGCCUUUAGGUACUGCAUUAUCCUGUACAAACAGGUUUAAACUGGGGCAACUUUUGACCGGUACAAACAGGUGUAAUAGGGACGACUCUUGACCUGUACAAACAGGUGUUAUAGGGACGACUCUUGACCGGUACAAACAGGUGUAAUAGGGACGACUCUUGACCUGUACAAACAGUUGAAACAGAUGUCAUGGGGACUGGUUUGGUAGAAUCAUUGCUAAUGGAAAACACAUUCUUCUUCUUAAUUAUUGUUUAUAUUAUAUUUUGUUGAUGGUUGUGAUUUUUUUUUUCAAACAAAGAAGCAAAUGUAUUUGCUGAAGUUUGAAAAAGUAAAUGAAAAGUUGAUUGUAGUCUAUGUUGUUGUAGAAUGGGCAAAACACUUUGGAUAGAGGUAUUCUGUGGUGUUUUUGGGCAAGGCCACAAUGACUGCCUGUAAGGUCAGUGUGGGUGAAGAGAUGGUCAAACUUUCUAUGUUGUGAUUUUAUUUUGUUAUUUGUAAUAGGUCAGGAAAUGCUUUAAUAUUGACAAAAACAAUUCAUCACAUUUGACCUCCAAUUCAAAAUGUGUGUUCAUGUCUACAAAAUUACAGGUACAAACUUGUAUUUACCCCUUCAAAGAUAUGUAUUUUAGAAUAAUAUUAUUUCAGUAUUACUCUGGCAAUCAAUGGUGUAUUAAUGUAAUAAAACAAAAUAUAGGUUUUGUAGUCAUGGCUAAGGUUUCUAGUUCUAAAACUGUCCAUUAUUUCCAACAUUUCUAAUCUUUAUAGUUUGUAUUUAUGU